rnacentral:rRNA from 1 species
AGCAGUAGCCACGGGAAUACGUAGGUGGCAAGCGUUGUCCGGAAUUAUUGGGCGUAAAGGGCUCGCAGGCGGUUUCUUAAGUCUGAUGUGAAAGCCCCCGGCUCAACCGGGGAGGGUCAUUGGAAACUGGGAAACUUGAGUGCAGAAGAGGAGAGUGGAAUUCCACGUGUAGCGGUGAAAUGCGUAGAGAUGUGGAGGAACACCAGUGGCGAAGGCGACUCUCUGGUCUGUAACUGACGCUGAGGAGCGAAAGCGUGGGGAGCGAACAGGAUUAGAUACCCCGGUAGUCCCUGUCUCUUAUAC